AUUGAACGCUGGCGGCAUGCCUUACACAUGCAAGUCGAACGGCAGCACGGGUGCUUGCCCCUGGUGGCGAGUGGCGAACGGGUGAGUAAUACAUCGGAACAUGUCCUGUAGUGGGGGAUAGCCCGGCGAAAGCCGGAUUAAUACCGCAUACGAUCUACGUGUGACAGCGGGGGACCUUCGGGCCUCGCGCUAUAGGGUUGGCCGAUGGCUGAUUAGCUAGUUGGUGGGGUAAAGGCCUACCAAGGGGACGAUCAGUAGCUGGUCUGAGAGGACGACCAGCCACACUGGGCCUGAGACACGGCCCAGACUCCUACGGGAGGCAGCAGUGGGGAAUUUUGGACAAUGGGCGAAAGCCUGAUCCAGCAAGGCCGCGUGUGUGAAGAAGGCCUUCGGGUGGUAAAGCACUUUUGUCCGGAAAGAAAUCCUUGGCCCUAAUACGGUCGGGGGAUGACGGUACCGGAAGAAUAAGCACCGGCUAACUACGU
rnacentral:rRNA from 1 species